rnacentral:rRNA from 1 species
GACGAAGGGGGCUAGCGUUGUUCGGAAUUACUGGGCAUAAAGGGUGCGUAGGCGGCUUGUUAAGUUAGGUGUGAAAGUCCUGGGCUUAACCUGGGGAUUGCGCCUAAUACUGAAUGACUAGAGUACUGUAGAGGAAGGUGGAAUUUCCAGUGUAGCGGUGAAAUGCGUAGAUAUUGGAAGGAACAUCUGUGGCGAAGGCGACCUUCUGGACAGAUACUGACACUGAGGCACGAAAGCGUGGGGAGCAAACAGG